rnacentral:lncRNA from 14 species
AUGAAGAGAACCAAUUCCAUAUUUAUCAGAACUCCAGACACCCCUUCUUCCACCUCUCCUUCUCAGACCCAGAACUCUCAAAAAAAUCGGGGUAGAGAUCCAUUACACAUGCUUACUAUGGUUACUCGCCAUGAAAAACAGUAUGAAUGGCCAACACAGACUCCAGGUGGUGGAUCAGCAUUAAUCAUAAUAGACCCAGGGGCAGAGGAUUGGCAAGAUACCAUGAGAAAUGGUUGUACACCCACCCCCUUGAACUCCAUUUCUUCCCACAAGGGACAGGAAUGUGGAGAAGGUAAGCUGAGCCUGUAA